UACGUAGGGUGCAAGCGUUGUCCGGAAUUAUUGGGCGUAAAGAGCUCGUAGGCGGUUUGUUGCGUCGGCUGUGAAAUCCCGAGGCUCAACCUCGGGUCUGCAGUCGAUACGAGCAAACUAGAGUGUUGCAGGGGAGACUGGAAUUCCUGGUGUAGCGGUGAAAUGCGCAGAUAUCAGGAGGAACACCGGUGGCGAAGGCGGUUCUCUGGGCAUGAUCUGACGCUGAGGAGCGAAAGCGUGGGGAGCGAACAGG
rnacentral:rRNA from 1 species